CGAACGGGUGAGUAACGCGUGGGUAACCUGCCUUAUAGCGGGGGAUAACUAUUGGAAACGAUAGCUAAUACCGCAUAACAAUAGAGAUUGCAUAAUCUUUAUUUGAAAGUGCCAACUGGUACACUAUGAGAUGGACCCGCGUUGUAUUAGCUAGUUGGUAGUGUAAUGGACUACCAAGGCGAUGAUACAUAGCCGACCUGAGAGGGUGAUCGGCCACAUUGGGACUGAGACACGGCCCAAACUCCUACGGGAGGCAGCAGUAGGGAAUCUUCGGCAAUGGACGAAAGUCUGACCGAGCAACGCCGCGUGAGUGAAGAAGGUUUUCGGAUCGUAAAACUCUGUUGUUAGAGAAGAAUGUUGGUUAGAGUGGAAAAUUAAUCAAGUGACGGUAUCUAACCAGAAAGGGACGGCUAACUACGUGCCAGCAGCCGCGGUAAUACGUAGGUCCCGAGCGUUGUCCGGAUUUAUUGGGCGUAAAGCGAGCGCAGGUGGUUUAAUAAGUCUGAUGUAAAAGGCAGUGGCUCAACCAUUGUGUGCAUUGGAAACUGUUAGACUUGAGUGCAGUAGAGGAGAGUGGAAUUCCAUGUGUAGCGGUGAAAUGCGUAGAUAUAUGGAGGAACACCGGUGGCGAAAGCGGCUCUCUGGACUGUCACUGACACUGAGGCUCGAAAGCGUGGGUAGCAAACAGGAUUAGAUACCCUGGUAGUCCACGCCGUAAACGAUGAGUGCUAGUUGUUUGGGGCUAUCCAGCCCUAAGUGACGCAGCAAACGCAUUAAGCACUCCGCCUGGGGAGUACGACCGCAAGGUUGAAACUCAAAGGAGUUGACGGGGGCCCGCACAAGCGGUGGAGCAUGUGGUUUAAUUCGAAGCAACGCGAAGAACCUUACCAGGUCUUGACAUACUCGUGCUA
rnacentral:rRNA from 1 species